GUGUGCGAGUCAUUGGGUAUAUUGUUGAAACCUAAGGGCGCAAUUAAAAUAACUAUUUUAUGGGAUUACAAGUGAAUUAAAUUUCAUUUCUUCAUCCCGGGGCGUUCUAUACGAACAUGGUUCAAGCAAUUGAAUCCUCUGUUCAAGAGCGUACCUUGAGCAUACAUGCUGUGACCCGAAAGAUGGUGAACUAUACCUGAUCAGAUCGAAGCCAGGAGAAAUUCUGGUGGAGGAUCGAAACAGUUCUGACGUGCAAAUCGAUUGUCAGAAUUGGGUAUAGGGGCGAAAGACCAAUCGAACCAUCUAGUAGCUGGUUCCCUCCGAAGUUUCCCUCAGGAUAGCUGGCGCAAAGAAUUAUAUUGUAUAUAAUCUUAUCUGGUAAAGCGAAUGAUUAGAGGCCUUGGGGCCGAAACGACCUCAACCUAUUCUCAAACUUUAAAUGGGUAAGAACCUCAUCUUUCUUGAUCUGAAGAUAUUGGGGUUUAGAUAUAUUGUGCCCAGUGGGCCACUUUUGGUAAGCAGAACUGGCGCUGUGGGAUGAACCAAACAUGAUGUUACGGCGCCUAAAUUAAUGACUCAUAUUGAUACCAUGAAAGGCGUUGGUUGCUUAAAACAGCAGGACGGUGGACAUGGAAGUCGUAAUCCGCUAAGGAGUGUGUAACAACUCACCUGCCGAAGCAACUAGCCCUUAAAAUGGAUGGCGCUCAAGUCAUAUGCCUAUACAUCAUCGCUAGAAUAAAAAUUGUUGGCCAUUCGGUCAUCAUUGUGAAAUUCUAGUGAGUAGGAGGGUACAAUGGUGUGCGCAGAAGUGUUUGGCGUGAGCCUGCAUGAAGCCGCCAUUGGCACAGAUCUUGGUGGUAGUAGCAAAUAAUCGAAUGAGAUCUUGGAGGACUGAAGUGGAGAAGGGUUUCGUGUGAACAGUGGUUGAUCACGAGUUAGUCGGUCCUAAGCUUUAUGCGAAAGCUGUUUAAUUUAUGUUACACACAAAAUUUUUGUUGUACAUAAUUCAAUAAAAGCGAAAGGGAAUACGGUUCCAAUUCCGUAACCUGUUGAGUAUACGUUUGUUUAUUAAAAAUGGGUCUUAUUACACUCAUCCUGGCAACAGGAACGACCAUAGAGAAGCCUUCGAGAGAUACUGGAAGAGUUUUCUUUUCUGCUAAACAAGCGUACCACCAUGGAAGUCUUUUAUAGAGAGAUAUGGUGGAUGGCUUGGAAGAGCAUGACAUUUACUGUUGUGUCAGUAUUUUCUCCUUGGACCUUGAAAAUCUAUGGUGGGGCCACGCAAACUUCUCAACAGACCGUACCGAUAUCCGC
rnacentral:rRNA from 1 species